AUGGCCAAGUUGUGCAGCUCGAUACCGAGGAUGGUCACCACCGACCUGGAGUGUGUUCAGAGAAUGGUGGCAUUGACCGAAUCUCUCGGUGUGCCCCGGGGAUCCGGAAUGUUCAGGCAUGCUCUCAGUGCUGUCGCAUUCCGCGACAAGAAGCAGAUCGCAGCCAAAGUGGAUCACCUGAAGAAGACGUUAGGGUGGUCGGAUGCCGAGGUGAGCACUGCUCUGCCUAAGGCCCUGUUUUUGCUCGCCAAGUCGAACGAAUCACUGCAGCACAGCUCCGAGUUCCUCAUGUCUGAGGUGGGAUUGGAACCGGCGUACAUUGCUCAUCGGCCAGUAAUUCUCUGUUACAGCCUAGAGGGCCGGAUGAGACCUCGGUACUACGUUGUAAAGUUUCUCAAGGAAAAUGGAUUGCUCAAGCACGACCCGAGCUACUAUACUGUUUUCAAGGAGACCGAGAAGUAUUUCGUGGGGAAGUUCAUAUACCCUCACAAGGAAGCUGCACCACACCUUGCUGAAGAUUAUGCUGCAGCUUGCGGAGGGGAAGUGCCCGCUAGAUUCAGAUUUACAUGA
rnacentral:rRNA from 1 species